rnacentral:tRNA from 6 species
GGCCCCAUGGUCAAGCGGCCUAAGACACCGCCCUUUCACGGCGGUAACGCGGGUUCGAAUCCCGCUGGGGUCACCA